rnacentral:tRNA from 1 species
GAGGGAUGGCAGAGUGGUUGAAUGCGGCGGUCUCGAAAACCGUUUAGCCAGUGUCCCUGGCUACGAGGGUUCGAAUCCCUCUCCCUCC